rnacentral:rRNA from 1 species
AUUGAACGCUGGCGGCAGGCCUUACACAUGCAAGUCGAACGGAGUGGCGAACGGGUGAGUAAUGUAUCGGAACGUGCCCAGUAGCGGGGGAUAACUACGCGAAAGCGUAGCUAAUACCGCAUACUAUUGGAGCGGCCGAUAUCGGAUUCGCUAUUUGGUGGGGUAACGGCUCACCAAGGCGACGAUCCGUAGCUGGUUUGAGAGGACGACCAGCCACACUGGGACUGAUACACGGCCCAGACUCCUACGGGAGGCAGCAGUGGGGAAUUUUGGACAAUGGGGGAAACCCUAAUCCAGCCGGCCCGCGUGUGCAGUGAAGGCCUUCGGGUUGUAAAGCACUUUUGGCAGGAAGGCGGUACCUGCAGAAUAAGCACCGGCUAACUACGUGCCGGCAGCCGCGGUAAUAC